rnacentral:lncRNA from 1 species
UGGCACUUUUCAAUUUCCUAGUAGACUGGCUUUAGGGGUAAUGCCUUAAUCAGUUUUUGAAUGUCCUCUGAGAGCCGCAGGUUGCUGGGCACCUGAAUGAUGUUUCCUGAUAGCUUUGGGUGAGCCUACUGCUAUUUAUAAUUUGCUGUAUAAAGUGAGCGCUACUUAAUUUGCAAGCUUAUGUCUCACGGUAUGAAUUUGUUCAUUCCUGGUAGUCUAUUUUCUAUAAAAUUGUAUUUUUGCACAUUUUUAAAAAUGGGUGUACUUUCAUCUAUGACGUGUUCCAAUUGCGAGAAACGGCUUUUAAGCAUAAUCCAGAGAAGUGCUUUCUAUGAAGUUUAUUUGAGUUUGUGAUUUAGUAGUUAGUUUAUUGUUGAAAUGUUUCACAAUUCUUAAUUAUUUCAACUGGAUAUUUGACACAUUAUGUUACCAGAUGAUUAGCCCAUUCCAUUUUGAUGAAACAGACCGAUUUGUUUGGGAGAGUUAUUUUUUUAGAAAAGGUCCGCUUUGAAGACAGUUAAGGAAGGGAUAGCUUUGGGACGAUUUUUUUUUUUUUUUUAAAAAAGACAGUACCAGGCCUUACUUGAAUAGAAGUCUGCUAUCCGCGGAUGGCAGAAUGAUGAUUCUGUCUUCUGCUGUUUAUGGAGUAGAUUGUCUGGUGGUCUUGACUGUGUUCUUUUUAUUCAUCAACUUUGGAAAGGCGUUUAUGAAAUUUUGUGAGAAGUUCAGCCUCCUGCAUUAUACAGCUUCUUGGUUUCAACCACUAUUUUUAGCAGGAGGCUAUUGUCUUAAUAUUCUGUCAUUUUAAAGUUCUUCCAAAAGGCAAAAUAGAAUUGACUUUGUAUUAUGUAAAAAUGUAAACAGUUGUAUGGUUUGCUGGGUCAAACAGUGUUUCCAACCAAAAAAACUCCUAUAUGUUGCCACUUUAACUACUUUUAGUGUAUUUAUUAAGUAAUGCAGUUUGUACUUUUUUAUUUUGUAACAUUUUGUGAUUUUUUUGUACAAUAAUGUAUUUGUACAAUAUAGCAGUUCUCAGCUGAUGGAAUGAAUGAAUAAAAUGUAUACUUUUACAUCUUU